rnacentral:rRNA from 1 species
AUGAACGCUGGCGGCGUGCCUCAUACCUGCAAGUCGAGCGAACGGACGAGAAGCUUGCUUUUCUGAUGUUAGCGGCGGACGGGUGAGUAACACGUGGAUAACCUACCUAUAAGACUGGGAUAACUUCGGGAAACCGGAGCUAAUACCGGAUAAUAUUUUGAACCGCAUGGUUCAAAAGUGAAAGACGGUCUUGCUGUCACUUAUAGAUGGAUCCGCGCUGCAUUAGCUAGUUGGUAAGGUAACGGCUUACCAAGGCAACGAUGCAUAGCCGACCUGAGAGGGUGAUCGGCCACACUGGAACUGAGACACGGUCCAGACUCCUACGGGAGGCAGCAGUAGGGAAUCUUCCGCAAUGGGCGAAAGCCUGACGGAGCAACGCCGCGUGAGUGAUGAAGGUCUUCGGAUCGUAAAACUCUGUUAUUAGGGAAGAACAUAUGUGUAAGUAACUAUGCACAUCUUGACGGUACCUAAUCAGAAAGCCACGGCUAACUACGUG